rnacentral:lncRNA from 1 species
AUGGGGUCAGGGCGGAGGCCGAGCAGUGGCCCCCAGCCCCUGAGAAACAGGCCUGGACCCCGCUCCAUCGCUAGCAGGGCGGCUCAACCCUGUGUCUCACGUCCCUCCUCCACUCUCCUCCAAACUCAGAACCAGGACGCUGGAGCCUCCUCUGCUCUGCCUAAACUCGCUCAGUGCUGCCCCCCACCGGUCCCCGGAGGGAACCUCCUAGAGUUCUGGGGCGUCAUUGCUGCCACCUGUGCCGGGGAAUCCGGAACAACCGGAGACUCUGCGGUCUCUGGAGGAAGGAUCAUCGCAGCAAGGCCUACAUUUCCCAGCCCCCACCUCCUCUUAGCGCAGCGCCUGCCCCAUGAGAGAGACCCAGGAGGCAUUUGUCACCUACUAGGUGAGCAGAAGAGCGGGGAUUGGGAGGGAGGGGACGAGCACGUGGGUGAGGCUUCAGUGAGGUGCGGUGGGCUGCACCUUGGCUUGGGCCUGGACAGACAGGGGAGGUGGGGAAUGCAGGAGCCGGGACCUGGAGUCUGGGAAGAGUCUGGAGGAGACACGCGGGCCUGAGCCGCUAAGCAGCCGUGCGGGAGGGAAGUCUCAGGUCUCUGUCUGCAUUGGUCUUUCUCACUCUGCUUCAGAGCCUGGAGGGGUCUGUGGCCCAGAGGGGCCUAAUUAUUCUCUUUGCCAUUUCAACCCAGGGCUUUUUGGAGCCAUGUUUUCAGGCUUAUAAUAGACAAUGCUAAUGUCAUUAUUAAUAUUUAAUAGUAAUGAUGCUAAUAAUGCCCUGC